rnacentral:rRNA from 1 species
GACGAACGCUGGCGGCGUGCCUAAUACAUGCAAGUAGAACGCUGAAGAGAGGAGCUUGCUCUUCUUGGAUGAGUUGCGAACGGGUGAGUAACGCGUAGGUAACCUGCCUUGUAGCGGGGGAUAACUAUUGGAAACGAUAGCUAAUACCGCAUAACAAUGGAUGCCACAUGUCAUUUAUUUGAAAGGGGCAAUUGCUCCACUACAAGAUGGACCUGCGUUGUAUUAGCUAGUAGGUGAGGUAAUGGCUCACCUAGGCGACGAUACAUAGCCGACCUGAGAGGGUGAUCGGCCACACUGGGACUGAGACACGGCCCAGACUCCUACGGGAGGCAGCAGUAGGGAAUCUUCGGCAAUGGGGGCAACCCUGACCGAGCAACGCCGCGUGAGUGAAGAAGGUUUUCGGAUCGUAAAGCUCUGUUGUAAGUCAAGAACGGGUGUGAGAGUGGAAAGUUCACACUGUGACGGUAGCUUACCAGAAAGGGACGGCUAACUACGUG